GGCGAGUGANCGGCAACAGCUCAAAUUUGAAAGCUAGCCUUCGGGUUCGCAUUGUAAUUUGUAGAGGAUGAUUUGGGGAAGCCGCCUGUCUAAGUUCCUUGGAACAGGACGUCAUAGAGGGUGAGAAUCCCGUAUGUGACAGGAAAUGGCACCCUAUGUAAAUCUCCUUCGACGAGUCGAGUUGUUUGGGAAUGCAGCUCUAAAUGGGAGGUAAAUUUCUUCUAAAGCUAAAUAUUGGCGAGAGACCGAUAGCGCACAAGUAGAGUGAUCGAAAGAUGAAAAGCACUUUGGAAAGAGAGUUAAAAAGCACGUGAAAUUGUUGAAAGGGAAGCGCUUGCAAUCAGACUUGUUUAAACUGUUCGGCCGGUCUUCUGACCGGUUUACUCAGUUUGGACAGGCCAGCAUCAGUUUCGGCGGCCGGAUAAAGGCUCUGGGAAUGUGGCCUCCACUUCGGUGGAGGUGUUAUAGCCCAGGGUGUAAUACGGCCAGCCGGGACUGAGGUCCGCGCUUCGGCUAGGAUGCUGGCGUAAUGGUUGUAAGCGACCCGUCUUGAANNAC
rnacentral:rRNA from 1 species